rnacentral:rRNA from 1 species
CGGGUCCAAGUCGCAGCCAUCAUUAUUGGGUCUAAAACAUCCGUAGCUUGCUUAAUAAGUUCCUUGUGAAAUCUCAUCUCUUAAGGAUGAGGCGUGCAAGGAGUACUGCUAAGCUAGAGACUGGAAGACGUAGAAAGUAUGUAUAAAGUAGCGGUAAAAUGUGUUAAUCUUAUGCAGACUCACAACAGCGAAGGCAUUCUACGAGGACAGUUCUGACAGUAAAGGAUGAAGGCUAGGGGCGCAAAAUGGAUUAGAUACCCAUGUAGUCCUAGCAGUAAACACUGCACACUAAACAUUAGUACCUCUUCGAGAGGUAUUAGUGCUGUAGAGAAGUCGAGAGUGUGCUACCUGGGAAGUAUAGCCGCAAGGCCGAAACUUAAAGGAAUUGGCGGGGAGACACUACAACAGGUGACGCGUGCGGUUCAAUUAGAUUCUACACCGUGAACCUCACCAGGAGCGACAGCAGGAUGAAGGUCAGUCUGAAGGGCUUACCUGACACGCUGAGAAGAAUUUGCAUGGCCGACGUCAG